UAUAUUAUACGUGCGAGAUUCGAAUAAAUCGCGCGCGUAAAAAUGCACGAGAUAAUGAGAGGAAAAAAAAACAAAGAGACUACGAAACGAGAUUGUAAUUUUUGUAAUUUAAUACCAAGUAGAUAAUAAGGAACACAAACGCGCGGAUACACUUACAGACACAUUCUUGAUUAACUCCUACGAGUAAUGGUGCGAACAAGAGUGUGUUUGUAUGUUAAACGUCAUUAUAUAAAUAAGUGAAUUUAUAUUUUGUUACUAUAAAUAUGUAUCACGUUGUAAUAUAAUAGAUACGUAAGCGUUCUAGCAUAUAUCUAUUAAUCGAAAAAUGCUCUAACGUGUAAUAUGUAUAUCGAAGACGAGUCGACGAGAAGAGUUUUUCUUUUUCCAUUUUGUUUUUUUUUCUUUUUUUUUUUUUUUUUUUUUUGUUUCUUUCAAUUUUAAUAUACUUAUCACUUAAAGCUUUGUAUACAUCGUUCAUUGUACAUGCAUGCAUACAUAUAUAGAAUAUAAUACGAUAAGAACGAUCGAUAAACGUAAUCAAUAAUGAGAACGAGAUGUCAGUCGUUCUAUCUUGAAUCGUUUCUCGAGUCCAUUGACCCGAUAAGAUUAUAAGAAUUUGCAUAAAAUAUUGCCCUUUCUUCGCUAGUAUAUAUAUAUAUAUAUUAUUUUAUAUAUAUAUAUAAAAUAAUAUAUAUAUAUAUAUAUAUAUAUAUAUAUAUAUAUAAAAUAACAGAAGAGAAGAACAAAACAAAAUUUUCAAGUUGAUGGAGAACGAGCAGCGAAGUCACGCAAUUGAAUGGAACGAUGUCCAAUAAUUGCGCACGAAGUUCUUUACAUCAAUAAAAGAUAUAUAUGUACAUACAUAACACACAAAUACAUAUACAUAAAUAUAUAGUAAAUAGACUUCAUUCUUAUAAUUUCGUCUGGUUCGAUCGUGAAAUUCGUAAAUAUUAUCUAUAAGAAAAAAAAAAAAAAGAAAAAAAAAAUAGAAAUGAAAAAAAAAAGAAUGAACCGUAAUGUACAUUGAACGAUGUCUAUGACGCCACUUUUUAUUUUUACCUUGUUAAAACUCUUUAACAGAUAAUUGUUUUCCCUUUUUUUUUUUUUUUUAUUAAUAAAAUAUAUUUCAUUAAAGAUAGUCAAUUAUGAUAACGCACAUGUGUCUAGGAAGAUUAUUAUACAACGUCGUGGUACAAAGGUAUUACCCGAUACAUUUUUUCUUUGAAGA